rnacentral:rRNA from 1 species
AUUGAACGCUGGCGGCAGGCCUAACACAUGCAAGUCGAGCGGAUGAAGGGAGCUUGCUCCUGGAUUCAGCGGCGGACGGGUGAGUAAUGCCUAGGAAUCUGCCUGGUAGUAGGGGAUAACGUCCGGAAACGGGCGCUAAUACCGCAUACGUCCUGAGGGAGAAAGUGGGGGAUCUUCGGGCCUCACGCUAUCAGAUGAGCCUAGGUCGGAUUAGCUAGUUGGUGGGGUAAAGGCCUACCAAGGCGACGAUCCGUAACUGGUCUGAGAGGAUGAUCAGUCACACGGGAACUGAGACACGGUCCAGACUCCUACGGGAGGCAGCAGUGGGGAAUAUUGGACAAUGGUCGAAAGCCUGAUCCAGCCAGGCCGCGUGUGUGAAGAAGGUCUUCGGAUUGUAAAGCACUUUAAGUUGGGAGGAAGGGCAGUAAGUUAAUACCUUGCUGUUUUGACGGUACCAACAGAAUAAGCACCGGCUAACUUCGUG